rnacentral:lncRNA from 1 species
AGAUAUUCUUGAUGACGUGGUGUUUGUGUCUGUGUACAGACACCGUGAUCUUAUGCUGGAUCUGGAGUCUGUUAUAUAGAACUCACUUCAAACACAACAACAGUCACACAGAAUGAUAUCACCGUGCUGCUGUUCUAUUUAAAAUGGGAUGCUGUCUGUAUGGCUUUCGUUCAGUCAUAUAUAGAGGUGGCAGAUGCUCUUGAAGGGUGGAGGGAUUGACAGUAAACCUGCUUCUGUUGUCCCAUGGCGCUGGAGUUCCUUAUGAGGUCUAUUCUCUCCCAUCAUCCUCAGCAAUGGACCUUGUCUCACUUAUACAAUGAGUGGAGCUGGAUCGUUUUCCUGAACUGACCGUGGAGAAUCUUCCCUGGUAUUUGGAGCUUGGGAAACCUUGGCUACUGCUUUUUAUCGGAAAGGAGGAUAGUACGGAGAGGACGAAGGCUUUAAAAGAAACCUCUGGACAGCUGGAUUCCUUCCUGCCAUGUUGGAUCCAUCUCUGUUAGACACGUUAAUCAACAUGCAUCGACUUUAAGCAAACUCUUUGUUAAUUGUCAUCUACAGGGUUUCUUUGUUUUAGAGGUCUGUCACCUGUUGGGAGGACUGAUCUGGAGAAGCAUCUUGGCUUUGUACCUCCACUUCCUGUUUUGGUGAUGUCACGGUUAAAAACUGGAGGAGAGGUGUUCCUUUUCCCCCCAGAGCGCCCCCUAAUGGCUAAGAACAGUCCCGGCAGCUUUUAAUUAGAGGAUUUACAACAAUUUGGUUUCAGUUUUCAGCCCUACCCAGGUGCACUGAAGUGAAUGAAGUAAAACGCAAUCAAGUUUUUGUGCCAAGACAGUAAAUAUACUUAACAUUUCUGGACAGAUAAAUUGAAAUACAGCGCAAAAUGUUCGGCUUGUUGAAUUGCGUUCAGAGUGCAGUUUUGACCUCAGUGUAUGGGUAAUGUAUAUUGAAAUGUCAGAAAUGUUUAAAAAUCAUACCACUGUAAUUGAAAAAAAAAAUUAUAUUGCUACAUAUAUUGAUAUCUGAUAUAAGAAUUAUUGUCCAGCCCUAAUUUGAAGACAUCAGAUAUGUCCUUGUAAUUGCCUACAGUUCCAGGAAUCGGUCAUCCCAUGCCCCUGCCAUGACAAAGCUGGCACAAAGUACUUCGACACUCACCAGUAUUUAUGAGAUCACAAAAUAUGCAUUCAGAACCUCAUCAACACUUUUGCCCUAAUACAAUCACUAUUGUUGCCUGUGGUUAAAAAAACACACAAAAAAAUGUAUACCCACUUCUCAGCAUCUGCUCCAUCUGCUUCCUGUGAAGCUCAGAGGAAAUUGUAUCCCUUAAUUGUGUCUGAUUGUUACAAGUUAUUUCCCUGAAACCUUCUGCUGGACUUCUGGGGCCUGGGGCCUUUUUUGGCAGCUUUUUGUGCUUCCGAAAAAUCGGUUAAAAUGUGUUUUAUGAGGAUGGAUGAAGCACUUUAUCCAUCGCAAGAUAUUUAUUAAAUUUCAUAUGCCAGUGAGAUGCAGAACAAAUACAAUUGUAUACACAUCAUCUGAAUUUUAUCCAUGAAGCGUUAGUGUAAUUAUAAUGAAAUGUCCUUUGUAUUGCUGUUAAAAGAGCUGUAGUAUAUGUGCCUUUUUUGCGACUCUUGGUACUAGGAAAACACAAUAGUUGUUUCCUUUCUGCUGUAUGGCCUCAUGGAUUUUAUUAGGCAGUGUAUGUAUUGUAUUGUCUCAUGUCUGACUAUAAUGUUAGUGUUUAAGCUAUUUUUUUAGACCUGUAUGUGUAAUGGGGCGGUAAGUGUA